rnacentral:rRNA from 1 species
CCAAGUCCAAGCGGACAGACGGGAGCUUGCUCCCUGAUGUUAGCGGCGGACGGGUGAGUAACACGUGGGUAACCUGCCUGUAAGACUGGGAUAACUCCGGGAAACCGGGGCUAAUACCGGAUGCUUGAUUGAACCGCAUGGUUCAAUUAUAAAAGGUGGCUUUUAGCUACCACUUACAGAUGGACCCGCGGCGCAUUAGCUAGUUGGUGAGGUAACGGCUCACCAAGGCAACGAUGCGUAGCCGACCUGAGAGGGUGAUCGGCCACACUGGGACUGAGACACGGCCCAGACUCCUACGGGAGGCAGCAGUAGGGAAUCUUCCGCAAUGGACGAAAGUCUGACGGAGCAACGCCGCGUGAGUGAUGAAGGUUUUCGGAUCGUAAAACUCUGUUGUUAGGGAAGAACAAGUACCGUUCGAAUAGGGCGGUACCUUGACGGUACCUAACCAGAAAGCCACGGCUAACUACGUGCCAGCAGCCGCGGUAAUACGUAGGUGGCAAGCGUUGUCCGGAAUUAUUGGGCGUAAAGCGCGCGCAGGCGGUUUCUUAAGUCUGAUGUGAAAGCCCCCGGCUCAACCGGGGAGGGUCAUUGGAAACUGGGGAACUUGAGUGCAGAAGAGGAGAGUGGAAUUCCACGUGUAGCGGUGAAAUGCGUAGAGAUGUGGAGGAACACCAGUGGCGAAGGCGACUCUCUGGUCUGUAACUGACGCUGAGGCGCGAAAGCGUGGGGAGCGAACAGGAUUAGAUAU